UCCCUGGUGGUCUAGCGGGUAAGGAUCCCACGCUCUCACCGCCGUGGCCUGGGUUCGAUUCCCAAGUGCUGAU